rnacentral:rRNA from 1 species
AGGACGAACGCUGGCGGCGUGCUUAACACAUGCAAGUCGAGCGAACCUUCGGGUUAGCGGCGAGCGGGUGAGUAACACGUGGGCAACCUGCCCCGAGCUCUGGGAUAACUCCGGGAAACCGGGGCUAAUACCGGAUAUGACCCGAGAAGACAUCUUCUCGGGUGGAAAGUUUUUCGGCUCGGGGAUGGGCCCGCGGCCUAUCAGCUUGUUGGUGGGGUAACGGCCUACCAAGGCGACGACGGGUAGCCGGCCUGAGAGGGCGACCGGCCACACUGGGACUGAGACACGGCCCAGACUCCUACGGGAGGCAGCAGUGGGGAAUAUUGCGCAAUGGGCGAAAGCCUGACGCAGCGACGCCGCGUGAGGGAUGAAGGCCUUCGGGUUGUAAACCUCUUUCAGCAGGGACGAAGCGAAAGUGACGGUACCUGCAGAAGAAGCACCGGCCAACUACGCGCCAGCAGCCG